GAUUAUGUUCAUGGAGCUCUUUCAUACUGUAUUAAUCUCUCUCAUUCCUAUGUCAACCAUAGGGAAUAUCGUUGUGAGGUUCUGCGCCUUCUCGUUAAAAUAUAUCAAAGACUGCCUUCUCCUGAUUUCCUGAGCAUCUGUCAGUGUCUCAUGUUUCUCAAUGAACCUGAAACUGUUGCUAGCAUACUCGAAAAACUUUUGUCUGGAAGCAAGGAUGAUGCUCUCUUGGCUU
rnacentral:misc_RNA from 1 species